rnacentral:rRNA from 1 species
UUUGCUAAGGCUGAUGGCGACCGGCGCACGGGUGAGUAACACGUAUCCAACCUGCCGAUAACUCGGGGAUAGCCUUUCGAAAGGAAGAUUAAUAUCCGAUAGUAUAUUAAAACCGCAUGGUUUUACUAUUAAAGAAUUUCGGUUAUCGAUGGGGAUGCGUUCCAUUAGUUUGUUGGCGGGGUAACGGCCCACCAAGACUACGAUGGAUAGGGGUUCUGAGAGGAAGGUCCCCCACAUUGGAACUGAGACACGGUCCAA